rnacentral:sRNA from 1 species
GAUACCAGGGUGAAAAGAGCAUACAUCCGCUUGUGCUUGCACAAAGGCGGAUGGGCGCUCUUGGAACCCGCCAAAAUAUGAGGAAGAAAUGGGGCAGGGACCCCAUGAAUUCCGAAUGUUUUGUAGAAUUGCGAAAGUGCAAGGCACGGAGCAAUUCGUGGUAU